GACAGAGGGUGCAAACGUUGUUCGGAAUUACUGGGCGUAAAGCGCGUGUAGGCGGCAGCGCAAGUCGGAUGUGAAAUCCCAUGGCUCAACCAUGGAAGUGCACCCGAAACUGCGUCGCUAGAGUCCUGGAGAGGAGACUGGAAUUUACGGUGUAGCAGUGAAAUGCGUAGAUAUCGUAAGGAAGACCAGUGGCGAAGGCGAGUCUCUGGACAGCAACUGACGCUGAGGCACGAAGGCCAGGGGAGCAAACGGG
rnacentral:rRNA from 1 species